GAUUUGAGUCAUGCUACUGGAAUCAAUACCUAUGACAUCGUGAGCACAUUCCAAGCUCUGGGUAUGCUGAAGUAUUGGAAAGGCAAACAUCUGGUUCUUAAGCGACAGGAUCUCAUUGAUGAUCAUAUUGCAAAGCGAGCCAAGAGAGGACCUGACCACAAAGUAAUUGAUGAAAAUAGCCUCAAGUGGCGUCCCCCUGUGCAAGUGGACACCCGAUAAAUAAAUUAAGCUUGCUUAACUAUAUAAUGUACAGAUGGUAAAACAAUCUAACCAUUUUUAACUUGUAAAUAGCAGGAGGAGUAAAGUGGGUGCUUAAUCUCUUACAAAAACCUUCAUAAUUUUGAUAGCAAUGACUGUGUAAUAUUUGUAGUGCAAUAUACAGUGAUUAGACAGGUGAAGAAUAAGAAAUACUUAUUAAACUCACAUAAUGCGUAAAAAACCACAAUGCUCGAAGCAUUCUGAACAUGUUCAGUGUUGGCAAGACUUUUGUAAUACUAUUAUUGUACACCUAUUAUGGUGUGUGUUUCUAACUUCAAAUUGGGAAUGUAGUCUCGGAAAAAUUCAUGGGCCCUGGUGAUCUGUGUAUUGACAAUUUUUUAAUGAAAUACAAGACACAAGUUGCUCCCGCAGAAGUGAGACUUGGUUAAAAUAAAAUCGUAAUAGUGGUGUGUGUAGAGUCCGUUAUAGACGUAGUGCAUGUCUACAAGGAACAUAAAUUGAUGUAUGUAAUGCUGUAAAACUUGCAGUGGUAAUAAUCUACCUAUAAUUGUGUAACGGUAUAUGUAUUAUAGUUUUCAUAUAAUGACUUGCAGUCAGUGAAAUAGGUGUAAAUGACUGACUAAUUAGUUUUAUUUUUUUAUUUAAGCAAAGUUUUGUGGUUGUCAUAGACUAGUAUGUACUUCUAAUACAACUAUUUCUUCUACCAACACCAAUCAAAAUUGAAUUUGUAAGUAGAAAUGACUUGGCACGUAUUUUUCAUGCAGCACUAAUUUAGAUAGUGACGGGUCAUUUAAUUAGGAUUAUGACAAAUUCGUUGUUUUUUUAUUUCACAAUACUUCCAUGUUUGGAGGCAUAAUGCAGAAAGCUCAUCUGAUAUUAACUUACAUAUAAGUAUGAAAUAAGUUUACAAAUUCAAUAAGGGCAUUUGUUUUACACUAUCAAGUUAUUGCUGUCGUUAUUUUAAUAGCUUCCUUAUUGUACAGUGUGUGUGUGUGGUGGGUGGUGCGUGCGUGUACGUGCGUGCGCGCGCGCGUGUGCGUGUGUGUGUGUGUGUGUGUGUAGAUGUUAUAUCCAUAAGACGUCACUGCCUUUGUAAAUUCUGUCAAUUUGGAUUGAAACGAAUUAAAAUAAUAAAUUCCAAUAAAUUUCAUGAUCUUUCAAA